GAGAUUUCGGUGAUUUUUCGGCGCUUUUUUGUGUUUUUACACAGUCUAAAUAUUUGAUAUUUAAGAUAUUACUAACUCUAUUGGUGGUGGUAAAUUAUUAUAGUUUGUUGUAGCUAUAGUUUUAAAAAUUGAAGGAUGGACAUAGAUCCGCCUCCAAAGCCCCCAGACCCGGGUCCAUCCCGUAAACGACAUGGAGAGGAUGCAGAAGUCCCAUCCUCCAAAAAACCCAAUGACUCCCAAUCCAUUCCUUCUAUACAAAAUGUAUAUGUUCACCCAUCAUUUUCCGACGGCCCCAAAUCAUACGCUUUAGAUGACAAAGGUCCGUUCAUUGUCCAAGUGUCACGUGAUGUAGUUGACCCAUCGUCUGGUGCCUCUUUAAGAGCCAUAACUUUUGGCCAAUUUCUGCACAAAAAUAAAAUAGACUCAAUUGUUAAAGGUGGCAUUAAAAAUGUAGGGCGUAACAAAAUUAUUGUUGAAUUUUGCUCGGCACAGAGUGCCAACUCAUUUUUGACUAACCCAUUACUAACAUUAUGUAAAUACAAAUCAAUUAUCCCGACAUACAACAUUUCCAGGAUGGGUCUUGUUAAAGGUGUACCAAUAGAAUGGACGAUGGACGAAUUUGUUGAGUCUAUUGAGCUCCCUACUGGUUGUGGAAUCGUUCUCAAGGCCAGAAGAUUAAAUAGGAAAACCACCAGUGAGGGUGUAACCACAUGGGUGCCGACCCAGACUGUUGUAGUAACUUUCAGAGGGCAGAUGCUCCCUGAGAGACUCUACUCCUACUACUCCUCUCUCCGUGUCGAAGUGUACAAAUUUCCCACGAUACAGUGCCAAAACUGUUGUCGGUUUGGCCACAUUAAACUGGCUUGCAGAUCCAAAGCGAGAUGCUACAGAUGUGCUCAACCCCAUUCAGGUGAUUCAUGCCCUGUUACACAGGCUGAAUCUACUUGUUUAUAUUGUUCUGGCAAACACUUUGCCACAGACAAGGACUGCCCUGAAUUCUCUCGUCAGCAGUCCAUAAAACUGGUAAUGUCACAAAAUAAUAUAUCUUACAUGGAAGCAGCGUCUCAGUUCCCCCCUGUGCGUACCUCGUAUGCAGAGGUAGCAAAAGAAAUGCCUUCCUCUUCCCCUAGGACUCCCUCCAGAUCUCAACAUCCUUCAACAACUUCAUAUCGCCAGACAAUAUUCCGCUCCCCUCGACCCCGUGCACCUCUGGGGAAAGGGUAUGACAAAAGAGCUCAUCAGAAUAUUGUUGGUGAAUGUUCCUCAUCCCAGCCAAAUGGUUGCGCUCUCAACAAUAAUAAUGUUGAUGUCCCUUCUCAGGGUCGAAUUUUAGAAAUAUUAUCAGAAUUUUUAGUAAAUAUUAUAGCUCCUUGUAGCGAAAUCCCCCUACCGCCCAACGUUGCCCAUAACUUAUCCCAACUUUUCAAAAUUCUCAAUAAUGGACCCAAUAACCCUACUUCAAUGGAACUGUAGAAGCCUACGUUCCAAAAAACACAAAUUAAUUUCCAUCAUAAAUCUGCACAAACCUGUCAUUGUUGCCAUCUCGGAAACAUGGCUGAUUCCAGGUUCUCGUAUUCGGGUUCCAGGUUUCUCCUGCUUGCGGGAUGACAGGGAUGACGGUUGUGCUGGUAGUGCCAUCCUUCUGAGGCACUCCCUUCCUUAUUCCCAAAUUCCUCUCCCUCCGCACAGCCAACAGUUUAAUGCUGUGGCUGUUCGUUCUUUAGAUAUUUCUUUUGUGUCUCUGUAUAUUCCUCACCCUUCUUCUUCUGUUUUUCCUGAAAUCCAAUCUAUCCUAUCUUCUCUUCCCAGUCCGGUCAUAGUCAUGGGUGACUUCAACACUCACCACACUAUGUGGGGGUGUCAUGCCACUGAUGGGUUUGGUCCUCUACUUAUAGAUAUACUGGACGAUGUUAACCUUUGCAUCCUCAAUGAUGGUUCUCCUACACGUCGAGUAUAUCCUGGUCAAAAUCCAAAAUCUGCAGUGGACCUUUCCCUCUGCUCCUCAAACCUGGCUUCCCAAAUGAACUGGAGGGUGCUGCCGUCCACCCAUGGCAGUGACCAUUUUCCUAUCAUAAUCUCAUUAAAUAAUAGAUCCCUUCCCAUCCCCAACUAUGACCCUCUUUUAAAAUAUAAACUUAAAAAAGCCAAUUGGGCAGCAUAUGCCCAAUCGGUUGACUGCACGAUUGAUUCCCUGCCAAGUCUUGAGGUGGAUGAAAAUACUUUGAUUUGUUAUGAAUCUUUUCUAAAUUGUCUUAAAUGUUCGGCUGAUUCACAUAUCCCAAGAAAACAUCCUCCCAAAAAAAACAUGCUUUCACCUCCCUGGUGGGAUGAUGAAUGCAGUGAUUUAUUUAGGGAAAGAACCUCUGCAGAGGAGGCAUACUCGUCUUGUAUGUCCCUAAGAAAUUUUUUAGUCUACCAAAAACUAGAUGCUAAAGCCAAAAGGGUUGUAUCAAAAAAGAAAAAGUUAGGCUGGAUGGGUUUCUGUGAAUCCCUUAGUCCUCGUUCUCCUUCCUCUAUUGUUUGGACAAAUAUUAGAAGAUUCCGCCGUUCCCUUAACCAUGUUGACCGAACUUCUAAUAAUCCCUCCGAUUGGCUUGACAACUUUGCAAACAAACUGGCUCCACCUUCUGUCCCCAAUGAGGACUUAUUUCUGACUUCUACGCCAGCUCCAACCUCUGAUGAAAUGGAUGCCCCCUUUUCACUCUCUGAGCUUCAAGUGGCUCUCAGUGGUCUAAAAGACACAACACCAGGGGAAGAUGGCGUGCCUUACUCUUUCCUAACUAAUCUAAAUGACAAAGCUAAAUCCUAUUUUCUUAAUAUUAUUAAUAAUUGUUUUGAAUCUGGCUCUAUUCCUGAUUCCUGGAAAUCCCAAAUUGUCAUUCCCUUACUAAAACCCGGUAAAGAUCCUCUAAAUUCAAAUUCCUACAGACCCAUAGCUUUGUCAUCUACAUUAGCUAAGGUGACGGAACACCUGCUUAAAAAUAGAUUGGAGUGGAUAGUGGAAAGCAGAAAUAUUCUACCCUCUUCGCAAUUUGGAUUUCGGAAGGGUAUGAGUACUACAGACAGCCUCAGCAUAUUGACAACAGACAUCCGUUUAGCCUUUACAAAAGGAGAGUACCUAGUGGGUGUCUUCCUUGAUAUUGCUUCUGCCUAUGAUAAUGUCCUUCUUCCGGUACUCAGGCAUAAACUGCUCAAGCUGAGUAUUCCUCCGAGGAUAGUACAUCUCAUAUGUAAUCUGCUAUUUGGCAGAUCCAUUCUGGUUAAACACCAGUCUUCCUCUCUUCCCCCCCAGCUAGUCUGGAAAGGUCUUCCUCAAGGCUCUGUUCUCAGCCCUCUGCUAUAUAGCAUAUAUACUUAUGAUCUGGAAUUGUCUGUUAACAGUUUUUGUAACAUUCUGCAAUAUGCUGACGAUAUAGUCCUCUAUUACAGCUCAGGCAGUAUAGAAGAAGUAUCCUGUCGUUUAAAUUCUGCUUUGUAUUAUCUAAACCAGUGGCUGUCUGACCAUGGUCUGUCUCUUUCAGUGGACAAAUGUCAGGCAGUGAGAUUUACCCGGAAAAGAUCCCUCCCUGACUUCCAAAUUUGUAUUGAGGAUCAACCAAUCAACCUUGAAGAUACUGUCAAAUUCCUGGGCAUUUAUUUAGAUAAUCGACUGAACGGAUUGGCUCAUUGUGAAUAUGUGGUUAAAAAAUGUGAAAAGGGCAUUAAUGUUUUAAGGGCAGUUGCCGGGGUCUGGUGGGGUGCUCACCCAUAUUCACUUAAAUUAUUAUACAAUGCCCUAGUUAGAAGUCAUAUAGAUUACUGUUUGUUUGUUAUGGAUCCUUUUAACAAAGCAGGUAGCGAAAAAUUAAAUAAAAUUCAAUUUAAAUGCCUUAGAAUUAUUCUAGGAGCAAUGAAAUCUUCCCCCACUAAUGCCUUGCAGGUAGAAUGUGUUGAUCCUCCUCUAUCUAUCCGUCGCCAAUAUCUUUGUGACCGGUAUGUUAGCAAGGUGUUACAGUUAUCAUCACAUCCUCUUUGGGCCAAAUUAACUCAAUUGUCCCGCACUCCCCACUGUCGUUACUCCUCUUCCUAUUUGCUAGAUAGCUUCUUGAAAUUUAAUAGCCUCCCUCAUCCUAUAUCAAAAUUCCAAUGUAACCCACUUUUUUCCACCUCAUAUAAAGCUCUAUUAUAUAACCCUCCUAUCAUCACAGAUCUUGGCCUAGUUAAAGGAGCCCCAGAUACUAGCAUUAAAUUUCAAGCCAUUAUUAAUCAAAAUUGGUCAAAUCAUCUGCAUAUUUAUACUGAUGCAUCAAAGUUAUCCCCAGGUGGAUGCGUUGGUGCUGCCUGCUGGGUUCCCAGGUAUAAGAUAAUAUUGAAAUUCAAAUGUCCUCCCGAGUCUUCUGUGUUCACAGGAGAAGCCACUGCUAUAUUGGAAGCAGUCCUGUUUGCACAGUCCCAUAACAUUCAACAGACGGUUAUUUUUACAGACUCUUUAAGUUGUUUAUUGUCCAUUAAAGAAAACCCAUUCAAAAGCAAAUCAAGAUUUCACAUUAUCUUAAAGAUCAGGCAAGCUCUGCUGUCAAGUUAUCAAAGAGGAUUAUCCAUCUUGCUUGUUUGGAUCCCAAGUCACUCCGGAAUCCCUGGAAAUGAGACUGUUGAUUCAUGUGCAAAAGCUGCUGUGCUAACUGGCUCCCUUGAACAUUUUGAAAAUUCUUCACAAGACUUGACUGCCCUGGCAAAAACUUAUCUGGAUAGAUCCUGGGAGUCCUUCUGGAAUGAAUCAAAAUUGGUGAAAGCCAAACAUUACUCAUCUAUCCAGCCAAAUAUACCAAGACGUCCCUGGUUUUUCUUUCAAAAAAUGACUGAACGUUGGGUUCUAACAACUAUUUCCCGUUUGCGUCUUGGUCACUCAUGUACACCUGUGCAUCUAAACAAGCUCCGGAUUAGGGAUAACUCUAUCUGUGAGUGUGGUUUGGAUGAAGGCACUGUCACUCAUCUCCUUUUUAACUGUCCCAGACUUCUUCAUCCUCUCUAUGACGUUUUUCCCCCAAAAGUCCCUCGUCCUUUAAGUGUUAAAUGUUUGUUAAUGUUUGUGUUUAGUCCAUAUUGUAGAUUUUUAUGUAAAUAUGUAGAAUGUAAUAAGAUCAAAUUGUAAUAUUGUUUAUAUAUUUUGUUUAUUAAUAUAUGUUAUUUGUGUUGUUUUAGGUUAAGAACUAACAAAAUAAUAUCAUUUAAUAUUAACUAUUUAGUAGAUUCUCAAAAUUAAAUUUGUCAGCCUUCACCGAACAAUCUCCAUCGUGCCUCCUCCAUCUACUCGACACUGGCGAGAUAAACAGUGCCCAGUUGGCACAAAUGAAAGCCAUAAAGAAGAAUUGAAUUGAAAGGGAAAUGUAAUAUUUAUUAAUAAAGAUUCAUAAAGAAGGUGUAAUAUUACAAUUUCAAGAUGUCAAUAGUAGGCAUAGCCAAAGUGCAUAAAACCGUCACCCUAGACGAUGUCUUGAGACCUAUAACAUCAAUAAGAGGUUCCAGUGCCCAGAAAGAAACCUGAUCAUCAUGCACAUAAG